rnacentral:lncRNA from 1 species
AUGGGGUUUCUAUGGGGCUCUAUGGGUCCCUAUGGGUCUCUAUGGGGCACUAUGGGGUCUCUAUGGGGAUUCUAUGGGGCCCUAUGGGUCUCUAAGGGGCCCUAUGGGAUUUCUAUGGGGCCCUAUGGGGUUUCUAUGGGGCGCUAUGGGGUUUCUAUGGGGCACUAUGGGGUUUCUGUGGGGCACUAUGGGUCUCUAUGGGGUUUCUAUGGGGCGCUAUGGGGUUUCUAUGGGGCACUAUGGGUCUCUAUGGGGNGGCACUAUGGGGUUUCUGUGGGGCACUAUGGGUCUCUAUGGGGUUUCUAUGGGGCGCUAUGGGGUUUCUAUGGGGCACUAUGGGUCUCUAUGGGGCCCUAUGUGGUUUCUAUGGGUCCUUAUGUGUCUCUAUGGGUCUCUAUGGGUUUCUAUGGGGCGCUAUGGGGAUUCUAUGGGGCCCUAUGGGUCUCUAUGGGGCGCUAUGGGGUUUCUAUGGCGCACUAUGGGUCUCAAUGGGGCGCUAUGGGUCUCUAUGGGGCGCUAUGGGUCUCUAUGGGUCCCUAUGGGGCGUUAUGGGUCUCUAUGGGGCCCUAUGGGGUUUCUAUGGGAGCCUAUUGGUCUCUAUGGGGCGCUAUGGGGUCUCUAUGGGGCACUAUGGGGUUUCUAUGGGUCUCUAUGUGUCCAUAUGGGUCUCUAUGGGGUUUCUAUGGGGCACUGUGGGGCCCUAUGUGUCCCUAUGGGUCUCUAUGGGGUUUGUAUGGGUCUCUAUGGGUCUCUAUAGGUCCGUAUGGGUCUCUAUGGGUCCCUGUGUGUCUCUAUGGGGUCUUAAUGGGGUUUCUAUGGGUCUCUAUGGGUCCCUAUGGGUCCCUAUGUCCCUCCAUGGGUCCCUAUGGGUCCCUAUGUCCCUCUAUGGGUCCCUAUGGGUCCCUAUGGGUCUCUAUGGGUCCCUAUGGGUCUCUAUGGGUCUCUAUGGGUCCCUAUGGGUCUCUAUGGGUCUCUAUGGGGUUUCUAUGGGUCUCUAUGUGUCCCUAUGGGUCCCAUUGUGUCCCUCUAUGGGGCAGCCCCACAGGUUGGCCGUGCCCGUCCUGCACGUUCCUCAAUGUGGGUCCAGCUGUUCUUUGCGCUGUUUGUGACCGACCGCGACUCGCCCCACGGCCAACACAACAGGUACCGCACUGCGCCCCAUAG